AGUUGAUCAAAUAAAUGAUAUUGACCAGAAUUUUGAAUAAUUUAAAAAGGACAAAAGGGAAACUUUACAUUUUUGUACUUAGAAUAAUUAAAUAAAAAACCAAAAAUAAUAAAAUCUACCCCACUACACCCCAAUCUGAUGAAAAAAAAAAGGUAGAAGAUCGUCACUUUCUUCUUCCCUAACUCCGACCCACACUGGUCUUCACCGGAACCCACUUCGUCAAUCGUCAUCGACACCUACAUCGCUAGCAUUGCUUCCUAGAUAUAGUUGGGUAGAUUAUAAAAGUAGAAAUGUCAAUGUGCAGAAUAUGAAGUCAAAAUUGGAGCAAUUUGUGGCACAAAUGGAUCAAUUGAGGGUAUACCCAUCAUUGUUCGGUGUUGCUGAGGAAUUGUGGGUUGAAUUUGGUGGAAAAUGGGCUCUAAUUUCGCCAGUUGGAAAAGGCAAAAUUUUCC
rnacentral:lncRNA from 1 species